rfam:Schistosoma mansoni strain Puerto Rico chromosome 1, complete genome
AUCCAACUGGCGAGUCCAUAAUAGGACGAAACGCGCGUCAAACUGGAU